GAUCUUUUGCUGAAGAACUUGGGGUCAGUCACUGCAGGUCUGCUGAUGCUGUCCAGGUGACGUCCUAAUAGGAUUUCACAUUGAACAAAACCUCCCAGGUCCUUGAAUCGCCUCCUACCACAAGCUGGGCACCUCUCCACUUGCCCUUACCUCUUGGCAUCCUUGUGUUCCUGAAUGAGGAACACUGUGUCAUAUGGGGCUGCUUAGGACCUGGUGUGUUGUCCCCUCUCCCCACAGACUUCUCCACCACCCUCAUCUGCCUUGAUUUUCAUUUUCUUCAGGUCCCAGGUGCACACACCUUCAGGAAGUCUCUGGAAGAUGGCGGCUCUAGGAGCUGUUGAGGAAGUUCUUCCUGUCCCAUCUCCCAUCAGUCUGUCAUCAUCAGGGACACCUGGAGCCCGGCACCACACAGCACAGCUUCACCUCCACAGUCAUCCACACGGUACUCAUCUGGCCCACUGUGUUCCCUCUGCCCUACCUCCACACUAUGGAGCCCCCAUCUGACCCAGCAACCCAGCUGGCUGAGAGGCAGCAGCAGACAGUUGUGCAGCUUCUUGGAGGCAGGGGCCUGAGAGGCAGCGCUAGGUCAGGACUCAGCCGUGGGAGGAGACCAAACCCAUGUCUGGCUUCCUAGGAAAAAGCCCCUGGGACCAUGGGACCAUUUCUUCCCUGGUGUAGAAAGAGUAGCCUCAGAAUCUGGGUCUGGUGUGAGCAGGAGUGAGCCAGCACCCCCAGCCCUGUCUGAAGCUGUGUUCCCAAGCAGGAGAAGAGAGCCCAGAGUUGUUGCUAGGCUGCUUUGGGUAUGGAACCUGUGGGACCUGCAGGGAUGGAGCCAUUGGCCUUGGUUUUACCCACAGUGUGUGUCUUUACUGGUCACAAGUAAGGAGCAGGCAGGGUGCACUGUGCCCCUGGCACACCUGGCUCUUGGGUCAUGGUGUCCUGAGGCUUCCUCUCUGUGUUGGAUAGCCAGGCUCAGUGCUCCUAAGAGCCUGAGCCAUUGACAGCAAAGACAAGGUCCCUCGUAAGGUAUGUCCUGGCAGCCUGCACCUAUGUUUAGAAGCUGGUGAAAGGUCCAGGAAAACAGCCUUCCUGGUGCCCAAGGUUCUCAGUCUUGGCUGUUCUUGUUAGUCUGUCUACUGGCAUAGUGACGCUGAGGCUUGUGGAGCAUGACUGCUGUACCAGGUCUAGGAUGAGCUUUUCAAAGCCCAGCCACAGCCUUUCACAUGCACACUCACAGAUAAGGACAGAGAGGACACCAAUAGCCAGGAAAUCACAUGGUGCAGCACAGGCCAAAAUGGGAGUUGUGAGCUCUGCGUCUGCUGCCUGACGGCAGGACCUUUUGCCCCUGCCCAUCCCCAGGAUAUUGCUGGGAAAGUACUUCUUUGGAGCACCUUGCAGUGGUUCCUGUGAACUAGGUGGAAUGUCUGGAAGGACCUCAGACUUAUUCUGUGCCGAGCCUUGUGGGGCCACCCCUACCACCAUCUCUUUCUCCUCUCCGGUGGUUUCUGGACCUUCAAGGGCCCCUGGCCUGUGCCCAGGGCCUGCGUCUCAGAGCCCAGAGCUGAGCCCCUUUGCCAUCUGGUUUCUCAGGAGUGCUCCAAGGCCCACAGAUCCCUGACAGACCCCAGUGUUUCCAGAACCUGCCCAGGGUUCCCCUGCCAGUUAGAAUUCGAGCCAGAACUUCUUAGAGCCAAUCCUUCCAGCUUCCAAGUCAGAGUCUGAGAUGAGCCAGAGGAAGCCCACCCAGGAGCCCUGAGUCCCAGUGAUCGUCAGAAGCCCACCCCAUACCCAGUCACUCCUAGAGACUCUCUGGCUGGGCUCAUACUGGGCACUUGGUGUCCUUGCAAGAGGAGCUGGCUCCUUCCUCCUCAGAGGAAAUGAAGGAUGCAGGGGGUUCAUUAAGCAGGGUGCUCAGCUGUCCCUGUGGGCAGCAGGCUGAGAUCCUGUGUCCGAAGCUGAGACCACCUCCUGGCUGGUCCCAGCCUCUUAGAGCAGGCUAGGAAGCAGGUGUAGGACAUAGUUGUUCUUCUCCCAGGACCUCUGUGUUCCUACAUAGACACAGGUCAGGGGCCAUGGCCAGUUUUGGGGUGCUGAGGGUCUGACACAGCUCCUCAGGGUCUGUGUUGUAUCAAUAUAGGGGCAGUGGAGGGCAGUGGGGCCUUCUGAUGGGGGCAUGGGAAGGAGGCCAGGCCAGAGACUGCCCAGCUUUUGUCUGCUUACAGAGCAAGGGAGGGUAAGUCCCAAAGCCAGGUUCUCAGGAGGGCUUCCUGGGGCAGCUCUUGACCAAGCCGGGGAGGAGGAGAAAGGGUACUCCUGGCUGGGGAGGCUCCUGGCAGUGGCACGGAGUCAAGCUGCCCUGCUCUUCUAGAGGUGCUGGGGAGGUGUAUCCGUGGCAGUGGAGGAGGUGGUGCUGUGUGUUAAGGGCUUGGCCCAGGAGCACGUGGCAUCCUGUAGGUGCCCUGGGCAAGUGGGGCUGAUUCCAGGGGAGGCAGCACUCUGGAGGGUGGGGCCUGAGCCAUAGCCCCCAACCCCUAGGCUCUCCCAGCUCCAACCCUGAGGUGCUCUCCCAGCCAUCAGAACUGGAUCUCCAAGACCUAGAGGAAGUGGAGAUCGGCAGAGACACCUGGCUUGGUGAGUGAGGACCACUGCCCACCCUACCCCGGCACACUGAGCACGUUUCCCAUUGCCCUGGAGCUCCUGAGCACCAGGCUCUGGGUAUUCCCACUGCUGUGGCUGGCGGCUGCUAUCUGAGGUUGGGCAGCUGCUUCCAGGGAGUUGGGCUACAGUACAGUUGUCACUGAGGCCACCGCCACCCCAUGGAGCUCUCUGAGCAGGUAUGAGCUCAUUGGAUCUUACCCGUCUGGCAUGGCAGGCUUCAAGAGAGGCUUGUUUCUUGUCCCUCAGUACUUGAGCCCAAAGGAUCAAAGUUCCAGAUCCUUGCCAGUCCUUAAUGUCAACCCUUGGGCCACCUCCUCCCAGCUCAGAGUAGACAUGCAGGUCUCGUUAACCACUGUGUCCUCGUAGACAGCCAAGGCCCCGUACACAUGCUCAGGUCACCAUCUGACAGAGCCCAGCUGCCCCCCACCGUAUGUUUCAUCUCAGCUGUUUGGGGCAGAACACCUUGGCCACUGUUCGGGGCCUCCUUCCACCUCACCAGUCCCAAGUCAGGCUUACCCCCCCAGGUUCUGCUCUUACUUGGUCCCAGUCCCUAGAAUGCCGCAGUGGGGCUGGAGCUGGGUACCAUCUGUCUGCCGUCUCUCCUUUCAGACUCAGAGGCAGAGCCUGGGCAGGCUCCAUCAUCUCCCCACCAGCAUGUUUCUGAAGACAGGGUGGACCCAGAGGGAGGGGCUCUGAGGGGCCUCCUGAGGAACUCUCCCCACAGGCCCAAGUGUGGGGAGAGCUUUGGGCAGGAGUCCAGCCUGGAGCGGCCAGCAGACCAGCCUCCAGGGCCCAUGCCCUGCACCCUGAGGAGGAGUGCCUGGUGCCUGGCACUCCUGUCGCAGGGAGCUUCAGAGACCGAGGGCAGCCCUGAACAGGCUCCAGAGCUGGGGUGCAGCUUGGGUCCCAGGCCACCACAGGCCAGUGCACGCGGCACCAAGCCGCACCGCUGCGAAGCCUGUGGCAAGAGCUUCAAGUACAACUCGCUGCUGCUGAAGCACCAGCGCAUCCACACAGGUGAGAAGCCCUAUGCCUGCCACGAGUGCGGCAAGCGCUUCCGUGGCUGGUCGGGCUUCAUCCAGCACCACCGCAUCCACACCGGGGAGAAGCCCUACGAGUGUGGCCAGUGCGGCCGCGCCUUCAGCCACAGCUCACACUUUACGCAGCACUUGCGCAUCCACAACGGCGAAAAGCCCUACAAGUGCCGCGAGUGUGGCCAGGCCUUCAGCCAGAGCUCCAACCUGGUGCGCCACCAGCGGCUGCACACGGGCGAGAGGCCCUACGCCUGCAGCCAGUGUGGCAAGGCCUUCAUCUGGAGCUCCGUGCUCAUUGAGCACCAGCGCAUCCACACGGGCGAGAAGCCCUACGAGUGCGCCGACUGCGGCAAGGCCUUCCGCGGCCGCUCGCACUUCUUCAGGCACCUACGGACUCACACCGGCGAGAAGCCUUUCGCGUGUGGUGCCUGCGGCAAGGCAUUCGGCCAGAGCUCCCAGCUCAUCCAGCACCAGAGGGUGCACUACCGCGAGUAGCCACAGCCUGGCCUGCAGUAAAUCCUGUGUGUGGAAACAGGAGCUGGCUUCUGCUGGGCGAGGUGGGCUGCUUCCCGACCUGAGGGCCACCAAGGGGGAGGGCCUGAGGCCAGGAGCCGGCCUGACCCUUCCAGAGCCUUGCCAUGGAGCCGUCAGACCUGCCCAGCACCGGAUGGGGACCAGUGGCAGCACCUGGAGCAGGCGGGGCGGACGGGGGGCUGCCUUCCAGGCUCCUGCGUUCCUCCAGCAGCCUGUGGCCUGGCCCAGGCUUCCUGUCGACCCUGGGCACAGGGUCUGCGGCAGCUGGGUCUCCUCAUGGCAGGUCUCCCCGCACAGCCCUCAGGCCUGUCCGUUGUCUCCUCCUUGCUCUUCCAUUUAGGGCUUGCAAGGUCAGCAGGCUUCCAUGAGAGGACCUCCCCGACCUGUGUUCUCCCUACCUGCCUCCCAUGCUGCUCCUGCUCUGACAAGGUGGGGACCUUGAGUUGUUGGGGCUGGACAGGUGUGCAGAGGGGUCAGGAUUUUGUCCUCUGAAGAUCUUCCCAGAGAGUCCUGUGGAGGGAAGGGCAGAGCCCGGUGCAGAGGGCAGGCUCCAAGCAGCCAGGGUUCCGGGCACCUUUCCUGCCCAGCUGUUCCCUCCAGAGCAGCUGAGGGACAGCAGACUCCUCCCAAGACUGCAGUGCCCAAGUGUGACCUCCCUGGCCCUCCCCACUGCUGGGCUUGCCCAGGGUUCCUGCUGGCAGGUCCCCGUGGUGGCUGGGAGGCACUACCCUGCUGCACUGGUGGUGUGCUUUGUGGCUGUCAUCAGCCCUUGGCCAGCCUGCUUCCCAGGGGACACGGAAGUUAUGAGGUGACGCAUGGCUUCCUGCAUGUCACAAGCAGUGACCCAUCUCAAGUCUCCUGAUGGGUCACACAGCCCUCUGCAGCCCCUUGAGGAAGGCACCUGUGGCCACCAAGUGCUGUUUGCCCCCACCCUGUGUCCCCAUGCCAACUGAGAGCCAAUCUAGAGGUGAGAGCUAGAGGUUAGGCUGUUGCCUGCCUCCCCCGCCCCUCAGGGAUACGUGGGCAGCGCGAGACUCUGCAGGCAGCCCAGCAGCCUCAUCACCAAGGACGGGCUCCAUUGGCAGUAAUGGAACCCAGCAGCAUCUAGGGAAGGUCCUAUGGUGCUCCAGGGGUCCCAGCCUCCUGGAAGUGGCCUUCAGGCACCUUGUGGGGCAGGGCCAGGUGCCCCAGAACUAGCUGUGGGUGCUAGUGGCUGGCAGGGCAGCUCUUCUGUGCUGGGUCUAAACCUUUGCUGAGGCAAAGUCACCGUUGUCCCUUGCUGGGCAGGACCACCAAGAUGAGCUGAAGUGGAAUUUGCAUCUCCCGUGGUACCCUUUUUCCUCCAAUCCCUGGCAGUCAGCAGAUUCCCAGAUGUUCCACCUGAUCUCCACCCAAUGUUUCCAGGAAAUUCAGUGUUAGGGGUCAGGCAUGGCUCCUCAGGACCGUUCUACUUACCCUUGCCCAUCCCCAUCAGCAUUCACUUGAUUAGAGCACUUAUCUCCUGUGCCCCAGAGGAACCUGGGCACCAUCUCCCCUCAGUUAUUCCUGCCUUGCAGGAGGUAUCUUGUCUGGGCCAGCCUGUGAAGGGCUCCUGCAGUGGCUGUUUCCAAACUCCAGAAGUGACCAUUUCUGUGAGCACAGCGUCUGCAUUUGGUCCCAGAGAAAGGGGCCCUAGAGGGACACUUGAGCCAUCAGGUCCUGGAGCUGCCAGAAAGGAUUUUGUGAGGCAGUUUCCAGGGAUUGCAGGCAAGGGGAGGGAGGGCUGUGAGCUGAUGAAUCCUAGAUGGAACCACUUGGUUUUAGAGUAUGAGGAUCUGCCCCAGGUGCCGUGAGACAAGAGGCAGAUAUAUCCAGGGUCACGCUGCGUUUUAUUGUGGAACUUACUGACAAAGGCAAAGUUGUGAUAAGAUCCAUUGCAUUCUCAAAGUUUGGAUCAGAAAGGGACAUAUAUAUGAAUCAGGACCAAAGUAACCUCAUCCUGGCUGAAUUGUACCUGGUUUAUCUUAAUAUGGAAGAGUUGGGUACAUCCCUGGAGUCGGGGUCUAACCUUGUGCAUUGUUUGCUAGUUGGUGAGUGCAAAACCACUAAGCACCACCAGGAGGAAGAGUAGAAAGGCAUAUUACUUGAAGUCAGGAGAACACGAGAUAAUUCUCAAAGCAGUGUGCCCCCCCAAAACAAAGCAAUGGGCUUUUAUUGGGGAAAUGGGCAUAUUCCCCUAGGAGGCUCAUCACUUGUAGAGGUGGGCACACUGCUGGGAAUGCUCAGUUUGAGGUCACAGCAUAGCCUUUAAAAAAAAAAAAAAAAAAAAACCCCAGCUGGCGAUGCCUCUGGGCAGAGAAUUCAGUAUUACAAUGAGCAGAGUUCACUCCAGGUCACCUAGACUCCGUGGUCAGCAGCUUGCACUGGUUCCUUGUGAGUUGCUCUGGAGAGUUUGGUCUGGAACAAAACACCUCUGAUGGAGCAUUAAGUCACUUAAGGGGCGGCUUCUCCUUUCCUCCAGGAAGCCUAGGCGUUUGUCCCCAACUGUACCAGCCCAGUGCUAACAGUAUGAUUCUGUGGCUUGUCUAUCACAGUUUGCUGGGGAACUGUGCAGGAAAAACCAAUUAGGGUUACUCUGGGGCAAUUGUGGGGGUAGACUCAAGAUGGCUGUAGUCAAGCUGAAUCUACCCAGGCUGCACGUGGCUGUGGCAAAAAGGGUCAAUCCUGGGUUUGGAGACUGCUGUUGGACACAAGGGUUUGGUUUUUACAUAAACAUACCUGUAUGGUGCAAUGGAUAAGAAAAUCAACUGUGGAACUUAAAGGACAGCUGUACUCUUAUCUGUGUAAAAUGAGAUUAAUUUCUCUGAACCUGUUUCCUGGUUAGUAAUAUGAUGAAGUCGGGUUUUCAGUGUUUUGAGAGCCCUUGGGUAAGUUGGGACUUCAGUCGCAAAGCAGUUAGCAACCCUGCCCUUCAAGGGGAUAGAGGAGGCCAGAUCCUGGUGUUGACCAGGUGCCCCUCACGGGAUACUUCCUUCAUCUGGUAGGUAGCCUUGUGUUUAGCUGUGGACCUGUACCAAGGUUUCCUCACUUGGGAGCGUGUCUAUGCUGGCAGACACCUGAGUGGCUCUUGUCUGACCCAUUUUGUGGAAGGCAAUCCAUCUUUGCCCCCGCGGUUCCUUUCUAAGUACUCCGCUCCUGCAGCUGGUCCGACUGUGCCUAGCCUGGGUUCAUUGCUGGACGCUCGCGUUCCCACCCCAGUCCCGGCCAGCACCCCCUCUCUCCUGGACCACAGCCUCAACCCAGAGUUGGAUUCCCUUUUUCUUCCCACCUACAAGCACAAAGGCCUUGACGCCCCCCACUUCCCGCAAGCCCUUAUGGCCUGUAGGUCCCCUUGCUUGCCCCGUCUGUGCCCCACCGCCGCAUCCCCUAGCACCUCGGACAGCGCCGGGCGAGCAGCCGCGGUCCCCAGGCUGGACUUGGGAGCCAGCCUUCGGAAGUGCCUGCGGCGUGGGGCGGGGCCUGCUGGCCGCGCUUCCGUCUCAGCGGUGCGCGUGCCGCGCGCUGGAACUUGGGCCUCCGGGACCACGGAGCACCCCUCUGCCCCCGAGCCGGCCGGCCGUGCGUCCUCCGGGGCCCCUCUGGUCCCGGUCCGCCCCGCGCGCGGCGGCCAGCUGCAGCUGUGAGCGUGGGGUGUGUCCCCUGCAUCAAGCCAGGGACCCACUCCGCAGGCGCGCCUUGAACGAGGCCGGUACCGUCUGGCCAGCGACACCUGGUGGCCACCGUGAAAGGAGGGAGGCUGGAGGAGUCGUGGGGAAAGCUGCGCGGCGCGUUCCUCUCCGCGAAGGCGCGUCCUGGAAUGUCGGGACAGCGCUUUCUCAGUGCAGCCCACCGGGAUCGCCGAGCGUCUGCCCCUGUCGCCUUCUCCUGCACACCAGUCGGGGCGAAAGGGAUGCUCCUGCUGUUGCCGCCGGAAGAGACCCACCCUCCUGGACCUUGCCUGGACACGGUCUGUUGGCCAGGCAGCUAGCCGCUGCCUGCCUCCUGCGCAGUCCUGUGUCCCUUCGGAGCGCACCUGGGCUCUAAGCACAGCCCGGUGGGUGUCUUCUGAGACCCUCAGGACCUGUCCCAGGACCGGAAGUGUACAUCCCAGCCAAUGGGCUCUGGCACCGGCUCUAACCUUGUCUCCCGCCUCACCUGCCCAGGGAGACCGGCCAGACUCUCCGUCAGGCAGCCAGGAUCCCAGAACACCGUACUUACCUCUCCAGCCCCCUUCUUCGUCCCUCGGGCUCGAGCCCCAACCCUGCUGCCUCCCCUCACUCAGCCAGCAGCCUCCAUGGGCUCUGCCAACAGCCCACCCUUGCCUGCUGCCCUACUGGGUGGGUGGGAGGUACCCCGCCACACCGCAGAUCUCAGGGAGGAAAGUUGAAGUCGCAUCCUUAAAAAGCACGUUUUUAACAAAUUUCUUUUCCCCAAAGCAUUUGUUUGUGGUCUUUAAAGAAAUUUUAGAAAAUGUAAAAAGAAAGAAAAAGAAUAAUGGAAACCAGGAAACGUUUUUCCUUCCUGUCAGUAAUUAUGAAGAAGUGUUUGCCUAUAUUUUCAAUCAGUUCUUGGUUUUAAAACGAACUCAAUGCUCAACUCAUCCCUAAAAUAAUCUUCCUGACCUGAGGUCUCAGAUCUGCCAGGAUCUGUCCUGGAGCCCUUGUCCCCGCCUUGUGAGGGGCUCCAGGGGGAUGAGGCCCUGCACACAGCUGUGUGCUGAGCCCAGGACUGGACUCUGGAGCCCACACUGCACUCCCACCGCUGCCCUGUCCUCCCUCAGUUUGCUGUGACUGUGAGUGGAUGGCGUGUUUCCAGGGAGGAUGCCUAGAUGGGGGUCACAGGGGCAGCGGUGUGAGCAGCGUCC
rnacentral:lncRNA from 1 species